CCCAAACUCCUCAGAGCUGCUGAGCACAGGAACUGGGGCUCUCAAGCAGAACAUCCCAGGCUGGACCAUAAACCUUCCUGGUGUGAGGAGGGGUUUUGGUGCUGGAGCCCCUGGAUGGGCUGUGGUUCCUCCAGAUCCAACAGGACACCUGAGAGGAACAUCCCUGCUCACAUCCCAGAAUUGACUCAUCAUUCCCAGAGGAAAUGCAGUGGCAGGGGUGAUUUUCUGAGGCCCCCAAAUGUUCUGUCCAGCUUCAAACUAAGGUCACUCUUACUCAAUUCUGACUGGGAAAAUGGACCGAGAAUGAAAUUACACCUGCAUCUCUCUCCCACCCUGGAAGUGGUGCUUCCCACCCUCUGGACCUGCUCCAGCAGGAUAAUAAAACCCUGGAUGGCAUCAGCAAGGGGACCAGGGCGCUUUUCCUCUUUGUGUUUUGCUCUGCCAGCACUUCUGAAAUCAAGUGAAAGUGCUGGGGAGCAGUUUCUGAGGAAGCCAAAGAUUGUUUUUCAUCUCAAGCACAGCCAAGUUAUUAAACUUUUUUUUGUUGCAGACAGGGUGGAUUCUGAAAGGCUUUGAAGGUUUUAAAAGGGUUUAAAGGUUUGAAAAUGGUUUAAAGGUUUGAAAAUGGUUUAAAGGUUUGAAAAGGGUUUAAAGGGUUAAAGGGCUUUAAAGGGUUCCAACAGGUGGACAAACACAGGGAAGCUAAAAAUCCUACAGUGCUGAUAAACAGACACCACAUCCAGCUGAGGAAGCUCCUGGGAUGCAGAUUUUCAUCUUGUGCUCCUCUUAUUCCUGCGGUUUUCCAGAGGUACCUGUUUCUGGCCACUGGCAGAGAGGAGAGAGCCUUCUUCAGUUCGUGGGGUUGAUUUACAUCAAGUGGCUCGAGCAGAAUUCCCAAUUCCUCCAUCACAUCCCUAGACAGACAUUCCUGCUUUAGAGGAUCCACUGGAUGCUGCCAGAGAACAUUUAGCAAAGUCUCCCAGAAUCCCAGACUGGUUUGGGUUGGAAGGGACCUUGGAGAUCAUCCCAUUCCAACCUUCUCCUUCCAUGAUAUUUUGAGCUGGGAGGCGUUUUAAAAACUGGGGUCGUGCUCAAUUAAACCCUUAAAAUCAUUUUUCAUCUCUUUUUUGUUGUUGUUUCUGUCACCUCUCCAUGAUUCCAUGGCUGGUCUUUUUUUUUGGGAGACAUCUCUUGCUCCAGGACACAACUUCUGGUUUAAACCCCCUGAGAUUCUGCCCUGAAAUGUUUUUUCUGUCCUAAAAAUCCAUGACAAAGUCAAUGGAUUUUGUACCUGUGCCCCAAUUAAAGGGACAAGGGGGUAUCUGAGUUAGUUGCUUGUCCAUUCAGAAAUUCCCUAAGGAAU